rnacentral:rRNA from 1 species
GGGAUUGCCUCAGUAACGGCGAGUGAAGCGGCAACAGCUCAAAUUUUAAAGCUGGCGCCUUCGGCGCACGCGUUGUAAUUUGGAGAGGCAUCUUCGGUUCGGGCGCCAGCCUAUGUUCCUUGGAACAGGACGUCACAGAGGGUGAGAAUCCCGUGCCUGGCUGGCUGUCCCGACCCAUGUGAAGCGCCUUCGACGAGUCGAGUUGUUUGGGAAUGCAGCUCAAAAUGGGUGGUAAAUUUCAUCUAAAGCUAAAUAUUGGCGGGAGACCGAUAGCGCACAAGUAGAGUGAUCGAAAGAUGAAAAGCACUUUGAAAAUAGAGUUAAAAAGUACGUGAAAUUGUUGAAAGGGAAGCGCUUGAGACCAGACUCGGCUGGGGAUGAUCAGCGGCCCUUCUGGGCCGUGCACUUGUCCCCGGUCGGGCCAGCAUCGGUUGAGGCGGUGGGAUAAAGGCCCGGGGAAUGUGGCUCCUCUCGGGGAGUGUUAUAGCCCCGGACGCAAUGCCGCCAGCCUUGACCGAGGGCCGCGCACUUUGUGCUAGGAUGCUGGCGUAAUGGUCUUCAGCGACCCGUCUUGAAACACGGACCAAGGAGUCUAACAUCUAUGCGAGUGUUUGGGUGUCAAACCCUUGCGCGGAAUGAAAGUGAACGGAGGUGGGAACCCCUCGCGGGGCGCACCAUCGACCGGUCCUGAUGUCUUCGGAUGGAUCUGAGUAGGAGCAUAGCUGUUGGGACCCGAAAGAUGGUGAACUAUGCCUGAAUAGGGUGAAGCCAGAGGAAACUCUGGUGGAGGCUCGCAGCGGUUCUGACGUGCAAAUCGAUCGUCAAAUUUGGGUAUAGGGGCGAAAGACUAAUCGA